CCACGCAGCCGGGGAGCUGGCGGUGCCCUGCACCUGCAAUCCGCCUUAGCAGGGGUGAUGCUCUGCCCCGGACAUCUUGCUGUGAAGCUGCCUUGUGAAAGUGGUGAUGACGUUUGGGUCUUGCGCAAUGGGAAUCCGUGAACCGUGUCAGGGCAGGAAUGCAGCAGCACUAAGCGGAACCUCUCAUGUGCCGUAAGGCAGCCUGGACUGAGCUAACUGCAUGAGUAACGUUCAUGGUAACUGUACAAAGCAGAGCGCGUGG
rnacentral:SRP_RNA from 1 species